rnacentral:rRNA from 1 species
GAAAGAUGAAAAGAACUUUGAAAAGAGAGUUAAAUAGUACGUGAAAUUGUUGGAAAGGAAACGAUUAAAGUCAGUCAUACCAACGGGAAAUCAACCUUUUGAGUUUGGUCUUGUGGGUUUGAAGAGUUUCAAAGCCUUCCGAUUUGUGAGAUUGGGAUCUCUUGGUGCACUUUUUCGUACGGUUAGUCAACAUCGGUUUUAAUCAUUAUAAAAUGGUUGAAGGAAUGUAACUUUGAUUUCGAUCGAGGUAUUAUA